GGUGGCUCAGUGGUAGAGUGCUUGUCUGGCAUGCAUGAGGCCCUGGGUUCCAUUCCUCAGCACCA
rnacentral:tRNA from 1 species